rnacentral:rRNA from 1 species
AGUAAGGAAUAUUGCGCAAUGGGCGAAAGCCUGACGCAGCGACGCCGCGUGGGGGAUGAAGGUCUUCGGAUUGUAAACCCCUUUCGGGAGGGAAGAUGGAGCGAGCAAUCGUUCGGACGGUACCUCCAGAAGCAGCCACGGCCAACUUCGUGCCAGCAGCCGCGGUAAUACGAAGGUGGCAAGCGUUGUUCGGAUUCACUGGGCGUACAGGGUGUGUAGGCGGUUUGGUAAGCCUUCUGUUAAAGCUUCGGGCCCAACCCGGAAAGCGCAGAGGGUACUGCCAGGCUAGAGGGUGGGAGAGGAGCGCGGAAUUCCCGGUGUAGCGGUGAAAUGCGUAGAGAUCGGGAGGAAGGCCGGUGGCGAAGGCGGCGCUCUGGAACAUACCUGACGCUGAGACACGAAAGCGUGGGGAGCAAA